GAAGGUUGGCGUUGGACGUACCACUCGCCAACCGGGUCAGGUCCGGAAGGAAGCAGCCCUAACGAGCCCGG
rnacentral:SRP_RNA from 1 species